rnacentral:lncRNA from 1 species
GCUUCCUCAUGAACUUGAACCCAUCCCUAAAAGACAGAUGGUCAAACCAAGAAUUCUUGAAUUUGAAAGGUGUAGGUCCCCACUUUACAAAACUUGUAUCCAAUUCAAUUGGGCAAUGAUCUGAAGUUAACCAGGUAGUAGCUCUCUGCGAGAGUUAGGAAAGCACGCUUCCCACUCAUUUGUGAAUAGAAACCUAUCAAGCCUUUGACAUACCACAUCUGCACUUUCUCUCAUAUUUGACAUGUAAAUUCUGCAUUAAAUAAAUUAGGAUCUCUAAGGUUUAUUUCCAAAAUAAAAUUAUUGAACACCCUCAUACUUCUUAUAAAUCUACUGCUAUUGGAUUUUUCUGACACAAACCAUUCCACAUUAAAGUCUCUUGUAUGACAGCAUCUAGGUCCAAAUAAGCCAAACAAUCCAGCUAGCUCUUCCCAAAAAUUGUUUCUUUCCCUCGCUUUGUUAGGGCCGUAAACCCCCGAAAGCCACCAAUCUAAGCCAUCGGAAGCCUUUAUUUUGAUUGAAACAAAAAACUAACCUACCAUAGAUUCCAAAACUGAGAUACAAUUGGUAUUCCACAAAACAAGAAUUCCCCCAGACCUUCCUAAAAGAAGGCAACGACAGCCAUUCUAUGUAACGAAACCUCCAGAUGCUUCCAACAAGUCUUCUGCAAAUUUUAGUUUUUUUUUCUUGUAAAACGACAAUGUUUUGUCAGCCCCGCUAUUUAUAAUCUGCUCUUUAACCACUCUUCUUUUAUUUCUCCUCCCUAGCCCUCUGACAUUCCAAGAAAAUAUCUUCAUUUUAGAGGAUUAACCCCCAAAUCACUUCUAACUUUUUUCUUCUGGUACAUGAUUAAGGUAGACCCACUUCCAGAUUCCUUUUUCUUGUUAACAAUUUUGCCUGUAAUUUAUUUUUAUUUUUAUUUUUGUAACAAGUUCCUUUUCAAAGGAAUUAGUGGUAUAUUUAGUUUCGACAAAAA